CAGGAGUCCAACAAAAGCCUUUACAUAAAUCACAGCUGAUACAAUGGCUCUUGGCUGAAGGGGAGAGGGGCUUAGAGUCUCAGCGCUGCUGAAAGAAGGUUUGUGUCUGGGGGAGGAAUUGUCAGAGCAGUCCCUGGGGAAGAGACGAGGCCUGAUGUCUGAACAGAGGGUGAGCCCGUCAUCCUGCUGGGGACGACAGAGGCCAUGGAAGGGAAUGAGAGUGAAAAUCUGGAGGCAGACUCCAGAUGUGACAUCUCCAUGGGGCGGGAUGGUCCAGAUAUCUGGGGCCUGUGCAGGUCACGCUCCAUCACAGUCCACAGUCCACAGUCCACAGUCUAUCCUGGCAGGGCAGUCCCUCCUAGGAGGGCAUGCUGUCUUGCAGAGGUGCCAGGCAAGGGCAGUCCUCACCCAGUGAGUCACGGACAUUAAGGGCUCUGGGCUCCAACAGAGGGGAGGUCUGAGUGGGCUGAGCUGCUCCCAGAAGGCUUCUGAAAGGCAAAUGUGCUAGGCAGGGAAGGCUGUUUUCUGACAGGCAGAGGGGAGACUAGGACUCUGUGGGGUGGAGUGGUGUGGCUGCAUCAGCUCAGGUUCCUUGAGAACGUGUCCACAAAACUGGAAUUCCAUGGUGGCCCUGUUGAGGAGCCCCGUCCCUGAGGAAUGACAGAGACCUCUUCAGGGAGCAGCAAAUUCCAGAAAAGCAGGGAAAUUGUUAAGUGGUGGAGCCAAGAUUUGUACGCGGGUCACCUGGUUCCUGAGCCUCUUCUCUCAACUGCUGUACUGCUCAGCCUCUGAUGACAGACAGAAAGAACAUGAGGCCUCAGGGAGUUCUGAAGGUAUCCUAACAUCUUAACAGUCUCUUUGCUGGAAAGAAAUCUUCAGUGGCUCCCAUUACCUACGGAUCCAGCCUGGCUUUUUAGUCCAGCAUUCAAGACCUGUCAAGCUCUUCUGCAUCCUCUCGUAUGCAUGUGAUAGACAGGCACUCCACCUAGCGAAGUACAACCAUCCCAAACUUAUUCCUAUUACUUUUCUUCCAUUCAUUCGUUCAUACAAUCAAUCAGUCAUCAUUGAGGAUUUAUUAGACGAUAGGUUCUGGAGACAAAAAGGUAGAUAAAUACGACGCAGUCUUUGCUUUUGAGGACUGUAUCCCAGAUACAUCUGACUGGUUGUUCCUGCUGAAACAUUUUUCCACCUCCAUGCUUUUGCAUACACUACUUUCUCCACCUGGAAGACCCUCUCUGCAUUUCUGAACAUGCACUUUUAUUAACUGUCCACAGCUGCAGUGAGGCCUUCUUCAUGAAGCCUCUCCCAGUUCUCCGCCUCACCCCACCAAGCUGGAACUGAUCGCAGCCUCCAAACUCCCACAGCAAUCCUUUGCCUCCUCUUCUGACGCUACUCUUUCUCUCUUGGAUGAAAGCCGUGUGUAUCCAUGUUGGUUCUCCACUUCUAGAACCUGUCGUUUUGGGGCUGCAGGACUUGGUGGAUUCACACUGGCAUCCCCUCAGGAAGCAGGUGAGCAGGAAGUGACUGUUGGAUGCACGAGAAAGCAAGGGAACCACAGAGGUGGGAAAAUGCUGUCUCUUUUUCAUUGUUAAGUCACUACUUUAGGCACAAGAGUGUAACUAAGUCCUUUCCAAAUGGAAAAUGGCUACUUUAGAGCCACGUGGACUCCUCACAAAUUACAUGUUGUGUCUUCUGUUCCUCUUUAAAAUAUUUUUCACAGGUAGCUUCAUUAAAAUGACGAUCACUUCUGGGAGCAAAUUAAUAAAUUCAAACAUAGACUAUUAGAAUUUGAAGGGACCUGCAAGACCCUUCUCUCUUUAGCUCUCAAUUUUAGAUCUAAGAAAACUGGGUCAAGAGAGGCAAAAAUAACUUACUCAAAUUCCCUGUGAGUGCUUGUGGUAUAUUGUACAAUACACCAUAAUAAUUGUUUAUAAUAAUUUAGUGAUUCAUUCAACUACUCUGCAAGUCAACUCUGUGUCAGGCAAAAGGUGAUUCUAAACCAUUGAGAAAAAGAUAAAAUAUAUUGGUUAUUGAGGAGUAGUUUAACUUUUUAGAAAUGCUUUCAUCAACAGUAGCAAAAAGGAAAGCAAAUAAAAGCUCAUAUAAGGUAAAUUUCAGUUACCUGGAAAAGUUACCUAUGUGAAGUGUUUCAUUUUACAGGUGAACAGAGCAGUGAGACAGGGCCAUAUGACAACCUUUCCUUGUUCGCAGGGGAUAGUUCAGGUUUACUUCUCUUGUAAACUUCUCUCUUCCCACCACAAUUAUUAAUAGUGUGUUCUUUCACUCUCAAAAGUGUUCUGGCUUGGACAAUGGCCAUUCUACGUAUAAAGCUUAGUCGUUUUUUCUUGUAUAGCUAUAAUAUCACUUUUUUUUUCUUUUUUUUCUUUUAUUAUUAUACUUU
rnacentral:lncRNA from 10 species